AAAUUGAAGAGUUUGAUCAUGGCUCAGAUUGAACGCUGGCGGCAGGCCUAACACAUGCAAGUCGAACGGUAACAGGAAGCAGCUUGCUGCUUUGCUGACGAGUGGCGGACGGGUGAGUAAUGUCUGGGAAACUGCCUGAUGGAGGGGGAUAACUACUGGAAACGGUGGCUAAUACCGCAUAACGUCGCAAGACCAAAGAGGGGGACCUUCGGGCCUCUUGCCAUCAGAUGUGCCCAGAUGGGAUUAGCUUGUUGGUGAGGUAACGGCUCACCAAGGCGACGAUCCCUAGCUGGUCUGAGAGGAUGAUCAGCCACACUGGAACUGAGACACGGUCCAGACUCCUACGGGAGGCAGCAGUGGGGAAUAUUGCACAAUGGGCGCAAGCCUGAUGCAGCCAUGCCGCGUGUAUGAAGAAGGCCUUCGGGUUGUAAAGUACUUUCAGCGGGGAGGAAGGUGUUGUGGUUAAUAACC
rnacentral:rRNA from 1 species